ACUCCUACGGGAGGCAGCAGUAGGGAAUCUUCCACAAUGGCGCAAGCCUGAUGGAGCAACACCGCGUGAGUGAAGAAGGGUUUCGGCUCGUAAAGCUCUGUUGUUAAAGAAGAACACGUAUGAGAGUAAUUGUUCAUACGUUGACGGUAUUUAACCAGAAAGUCACGGCUAACUACGUGCCAGCAGCCGCGGUAAUACGUAGGUGGCAAGCGUUAUCCGGAUUUAUUGGGCGUAAAGAGAGUGCAGGCGGUUUUCUAAGUCUGAUGUGAAAGCCUUCGGCUUAACCGGAGAAGUGCAUCGGAAACUGGAUAACUUGAGUGCAGAAGAGGGUAGUGGAACUCCAUGUGUAGCGGUGGAAUGCGUAGAUAUAUGGAAGAACACCAGUGGCGAAGGCGGCUACCUGGUCUGCAACUGACGCUGAGACUCGAAAGCAUGGGUGGCGAACAGGAUUAGAUACCCUGGUAGGAUAGCG
rnacentral:rRNA from 1 species